UACGGAGGGUGCAAGCGUUAUCCGGAUUCACUGGGUUUAAAGGGUGCGUAGGUGGAUUGGUAAGUCAGUGGUGAAAUCUCUGGGCUUAACUCAGAAACUGCCAUUGAUACUAUCAGUCUUGAAUACCGUGGAGGCCAGCGGAAUAUGUCAUGUAGCGGUGAAAUGCUUAGAUAUGACAUAGAACACCAAUUGCGAAGGCAGCUGGCUACACGAAUAUUGACACUGAGGCACGAAAGCGUGGGGAUCAAACAGG
rnacentral:rRNA from 1 species